GGGCGAUGAUGAUAAUACAUUUCUCGAUGCUGAUUUCACGUCGUUAGACUUGGGACCAAAAGCAAGUAUUUUGAUGACUUUUGUGCGUAUCUGAGCCAU
rfam:Citrus clementina cultivar Clemenules unplaced genomic scaffold scaffold_7, whole genome shotgun sequence.